AGCAGCCGCGGUAAUUCCAGCUCCAAUAGCGUAUAUUAAAGUUGUUGCAGUUAAAAAAGCUCGUAGUUGAAUUUCGGGAUCAGAUUGUCGGUCGUGCCUCGGUACGCACUGGCAUUAUUGGUUCCUACCUUCUGAAGAACCGCGAUGUCAUUAAUUUGGUGUCGUGGGGAAUCAGGACUGUUACUUUGAAAAAAUUAGAGUGUUUAAAGCAGGCGCACGCUUGAAUACAUUAGCAUGGAAUAAUGAAAUAGGACGUUUGAUUCUAUUUUGUUGGUUUCUAGGAUCGACGUAAUGAUUAAUAGGGAUAGUUGGGGGCAUUAGUAUUCAAUUGUCAGAGGUGAAAUUCUUGGAUUUAUUGAAGACUAACUACUGCGAAAGCAUUUGCCAAGGAUGUUUUCAUUAAUCAAGAACGAAAGUUAGGGGAUCGAAGACGAUCAGAUACCGUCGUAGUCUUAACCAUAAACUAUGCCGACUAGGGAUCGGAUGAUGUUAAUUUUUAAUGUACUCAUUCGGCGCCUUA
rnacentral:rRNA from 1 species